GUGAACGCUGGCGGUAGGCCUAACACAUGCAAGUCGAACGGCAGCACAGUAAGAGCUUGCUCUUACGGGUGGCGAGUGGCGGACGGGUGAGGAAUACAUCGGAAUCUACUUUUUCGUGGGGGAUAACGUAGGGAAACUUACGCUAAUACCGCAUACGACCUACGGGUGAAAGCAGGGGAUCUUCGGACCUUGCGCGAUUGAAUGAGCCGAUAUCGGAUUAGCUAGUUGGCGGGGUAAAGGCCCACCAAGGCGACGAUCCGUAGCUGGUCUGAGAGGAUGAUCAGCCGCACUGGAACUGAGACACGGUCCAGACUCCUACGGGAGGCAGCAGUGGGGAAUAUUGGACAAUGGGCGCAAGCCUGAUCCAGCCAUACCGCGUGGGUGAAGAAGGCCUUCGGGUUGUAAAGCCCUUUUGUUGGGAAAGAAAAGCAGCAGGUUAAUACCCCGCUGUUCUGACGGUACCCAAAGAAUAAGCACCGGCUAACUUCGUG
rnacentral:rRNA from 1 species